CCUACGGGAGGCAGCAGUGGGGAAUAUUGGACAAUGGGGGGAACCCUGAUCCAGCCAUGCCGCGUGUGUGAAGAAGGCCCUCGGGUUGUAAAGCACUUUCAGUGAGGAAGAACGCCUGGUGGUUAAUACCCAUCAGGAAAGACAUCACUCACAGAAGAAGCACCGGCUACACUCCGUGCCAGCAGCCGCGGUAAUACGGAGGGUGCGAGCGUUAAUCGGAAUUACUGGGCGUAAAGCGCGCGUAGGUGGCUUGAUAAGCCGGUUGUGAAAGCCCCGGGCUCAACCUGGGAACGGCAUCCGGAACUGUCAAGCUAGAGUGCAGGAGAGGAAGGUAGAAUUCCAGGUGUAGCGGUGAAAUGCGUAGAGAUCGGGAGGAAUACCAGUGGCGAAGGCGGCCUUCUGGACUGACACUGACACUGAGGUGCGAAAGCGUGGGUAGCAAACAGGAUUAGAUACCCCGGUAGUC
rnacentral:rRNA from 1 species